UACAGAGGGUGCGAGCGUUAAUCGGAAUUAUUGGGCGUAAAGGGUGCGUAGGUGGUGAGAUAAGUUGGACGUGAAAGCCCCGGGCUUAACCUGGGAGGUGCGUACAAAACUGUCUGACUAGAGUCGUGUAGAGGAAAGGGGAAUUUCCGGUGUAGCGGUGAAAUGCGUAGAUAUCGGAAGGAACACCAGUGGCGAAGGCGCCUUUCUGGACACAGACUGACACUGAAGCACGAAAGCGUGGGGAGCAAAC
rnacentral:rRNA from 1 species